AAGGAAAGUCAAAGGUUGGGUGUUCGCGGUGCGGUUUGGUUCGGUUUUUAAGAGAAAAGCCAUCCGAUCCAAUCGUUUAAUUAAACUGCAAUUCGGUUUGGUUCGGUUUUUUUCUCAAGACCAUCCGAACCAAACCAAACCAAUUAA